AUGAAAGGACAUUUGCAUUGCCCGAGGCAUUAAAUGCACUGUAGCAAGGAGUGUAAACGUCUCUCUUGUCAGGUGCGUGGGCGGCCACGCGCGCGUGAUAACUGUCAGCGGAACUGUGGGUGUACACGUGUUGCCGCAUAAUUGGUUCUUUUCGAACGUGAUGAUUCGCUUUCUCCCUCCGCAUUAAUUGUGAUGGGUAUAUAAGGGGAAACCGUUCGUGGUUUCCCCUCACUUGUUCAAAAUUUCAAAAAUUUUCGGUGAGAGAAAAGUUUCCUCUUGUCUUCUCCGAUAAGAUUUUCUGAAAUUCCGGUGAGGUAGUUUGAGUUUUUCCACUCACGUUCUUCUGUUUCUUCGAUAUUUCUGAUGGCUGAACCAUCAAGUCCACACAAUGUGGAGGGUGAAAACCCUGAACAGCCGGUUGUGGCGGCUGAUGAAGAUGAAGAUGAUGAUGGUGGUGCCGUCGGUGGUGGUUUACCGGUAUUGAAGUGGACAAUAGGUGGUUUUAAAAACCUGAUGACCACCAUUCAUAUGGCCGACGACUGGAAGGCCACUUACCCACAAGAGGGGGACACCGGUGUCGAUGCUCCGGCCGAUUAUAUUACCAUGUGGGCAGAUUUUUUCACCGAAGGCAACCUUCGGUUGCCGGUGACGGUGUUUGUUGCGGAGGUGUUGGAGUACUAUCAUCUCCAUAUCUCCCAACUUAGUCCAUUUGGGAUGUUCCGAAUCAGGAACUUUGAGUAUACCUUCCGUGCUCAUGGCUUGCCCAUUACUGUUGAGAAUUUCCGGCGGUUUUACCAGUUAACGGUGAACACCGGAUUUUUCUCUUUUAAUCAACGGCAUGGGAGUUUGAAGCUGAUGACACCCCCUAAGGGUGUGACCGGCUGGAAGAAGAAAUUCUUUUACGUCAAAGCCUGUGCGGUCUACGCCCAUAUGACUUUUCGGGACGUAAAUGUGGGUGUUACGGAUGAGGAUAUUCCUAUUGCCACCGCAAAGACUGUGGAUUGGUUCUCUAGGCUGCGGCCUAUUGAACUCAAGAAGCUGGACAACAACCAGUUGUGGGUGUUGCGGAUGAUGCGCAGCAGGCCGGAUAGGAAGGCAAGGCCCGUUCUUCGGGAAAAGAGUGGUGGUAAGCUUGUUACUCUUGAUUAUUUUCCUUGCUUCAUUAUCCUUUUAGUAAUGUGCAUGCCUUGUAUCAGUGGAUGCGGUUGGCUUAUGGAGGAUGUUUGAGCCCGAUUUCGAGGGCAAGGUUGAGCUGAUUCCGGUUGAUCUGCGGGAAGGUUUCAACCUGGAGAUUGUUGGCAAUUUCCGCGUUCCUACCCGUGAUGUGUUGAAGGCACCCGUGCCGGAAGGCCCAGGUAUUCUUGGGGAUCUGGGGAAGUUUGGAAAGCUUAUCCCCAAGAAGCACGUGGAAAAGAAGCAGGUAAAGAAAACCGCGCGGGGCUGCGGUAAGGAGAAAACUGAGGGUUCAGUUGCCCCUCCUCUGGUGUCUCAGGCCGCAGGUAGUGGUGCGGCUGCGGGUGGAACCGCUGCGCCCCCCCCCCCCCCCCCGUUGUUGGUAAGAAGAGAGAACCAGAGCAAAGGGCUGCUGGUGGUGGUGAAUUGAAGCGUCGGAAGCUGAAGUCUAAAAGGGCUGCUCCGGCGCAACAGAAGCCUGCGGUUGCUGCUGAACCCGAAGAUGCAGGAUAUUCUUUCUUUGAUGCUCCUUUGUCUCCCUCGCAUACCACAGCUGCGGGUGCGGGGGUACCAAAGGAGCCUGCGGCACCUUCUGUUAAUGUGACAACCCGAACUUUCAAGGACCUUAGGUACUUAUGGAGCUUGCACAGGGAGGAGCAGG